UACGUAGGGCGCAAGCGUUAUCCGGAAUUAUUGGGCGUAAAGCGCGCGCAGGCGGUCAUGUAAGUCUGGUGUUUAAUCCCGGGGCUCAACCCCGGAUCGCACUGGAAACUGGAUGACUUGAGUGCAGAAGAGGAGAGUGGAAUUCCACGUGUAGCGGUGAAAUGCGUAGAUAUGUGGGGGAACACCAGUGGCGAAGGCGACUCUUUGGCCUAUAACUGACGCUGAGGCGCGAAAGCGUGGGGAGCAAACAGG
rnacentral:misc_RNA from 1 species